rnacentral:sRNA from 1 species
AUCCUCGAUCUGUUGCGGGCAGAUAUAAUGGAUAUGGCUGUCAAACCCGCCUGCCGUCAGGAUGCGCCCUUCGCCCGCGAUCACCUCGGUGCCGGGGCCAACGAUAAUGGUCACAUUGGGUUGAGUGUCGGGGUUGCCGGCCUUACCGAUGGCAUGGAUGCGCCCGUCUUUCAGCCCGACGUCAGCCUUGUAGAUGCCGGUCCAAUCAAGGAUCAGCGCGUUGGUAAUCACGGUAUCGACCGCGCCGCCCGCGCGCGUCGUCUGCGCCUGUCCCAUCCCGUCGCGGAU